UUUCGUUCUUUCGCGAAUUGCUCUCUCUCUUUUUCAUCGGCGAUUUCACCAAGGAGAGACUGAAAUCGGAAACAAACCAAGGAGAACUACUGUCAGAGAGUGUCUCCGACUGAAAUCGGAACCAAACCAAGGAGAACUACUGAAAUCUGUUUGGAUUUAGGGUUUAGACAAUGCGUUUAAGGAAAUCCGAAGACAGUUCAACUUUCGUGAACCUGGUACCUCUGAAGAAGAUGGUAAGAAGGAUGAGUCUGAGGAGAAAGAAGAGAUGAACAAAGGAAGAAGGAAUCUGAAACAAGCGGCGUCGGAGCAGGAUUUCACGUUUGAGGAAUGUCAGAGCAUUGCCCAAGUCGUCUCUCUCAGAGGUUCCAAUCAAAUUGAGAUAAUGGAUGCAAAAGGAGAGAACUCACUAGCAUUGUUUCCACCUAGGUUUCGUGAGAGAAAAUAUUUGCAGAUUCUUCAUGAUGCAUUCGUUCUCCCCCAUGGCUAAUUAACAUAGAGUUUAAAGGAUGAAGAGUUUAAAGGAUGAAGUUGUGCCAUUCAAGUGUGUCAAGUUGGUGAGAUCAUGUUUUGUAAAAGACUUUCACACUCUUGUUUGUGCUGCUUUUGAAUAUGACAAAUGUAGUUUGUGUCUCAAGUUUGUAAAAGACAUUCACACAUUUUUUAAAAAAAUUAAAAUUUUGAAUCCUUAAUU